AGCGAACGCUGGCGGCAGGCUUAACACAUGCGAGUCGAGCGGGCACUUCGGUGUCAGCGGCAGACGGGUGAGUAACACGUGGGAACGUACCCUUUGGUUCGGAAUAACGCUGGGAAACUAGCGCUAAUACCGGAUACGCCCUUUUGGGGAAAGGCUUGCUGCCGAAGGAUCGGCCCGCGUCUGAUUAGCUAGUUGGUGGGGUAAUGGCCUACCAAGGCGACGAUCAGUAGCUGGUCUGAGAGGAUGAUCAGCCACACUGGGACUGAGACACGGCCCAGACUCCUACGGGAGGCAGCAGUGGGGAAUAUUGGACAAUGGGCGCAAGCCUGAUCCAGCCAUGCCGCGUGAGUGAUGAAGGCCUUAGGGUUGUAAAGCUCUUUUGUCCGGGACGAUAAUGACGGUACCGGAAGAAUAAGCCCCGGCUAACUUCGUG
rnacentral:rRNA from 1 species